UUGGCAUCUCAUUAAUGAAGAAGGGCUGGUGUCUCUCAUUACAGUUAGAGUGAGUGAGAGGACCUCAGAACUAAUUUACUUGCUCUCACUAGGGAAGACACUUGCCUCCAUCAAGAACUUCACUUUCCUGCUGCCUGUGGCAAUAAAAGAACCCGUUUUGUUUUAACAUUAAUAAGGAAAUUCCACUCAUUGAUAAAGCUCGGCUUCGACGCCCCUGCUCACAAUGAAAUACCUUCCUUGCCAACCACAUUGCUUUAUGAUCGUGCCCCUUUACCACAUUGUACUUGAAAUGCCUUGUCAUUUAAGAAACCAUAAAAACGACGUCUUUAAAAAUGGGUUCAUCAUUUAGCUGGAGAUGGCUUCUGUGCCUGGAACCAGAAGCCUGUCCUCUCGGUGGUAUGCCUCCACAAAAGGAAGCGAGCUACCACAAAGGACAGCAUCAUGUGUUGCCUUCAUUGCUAUUGAAUCGG
rnacentral:lncRNA from 1 species